GACGGAGGGAGCUAGCGUUGUUCGGCAACACAGGGCGUAAAGGGCGCUUAGGCGGCGGAUCAAGUCGGCUUGUGAAAGCCCGGGGCUCAACCCUGGAGGUGCGGCCGGGACUGAUCUGCUGGAGGCCGGAAGAGGAGGGUGGAAUACCCAGUGUAGAGGUGAAAUUCGUAGAUAUUGGGUGGAAAACCGGUGGCGAAAGCGGCUCUCUUGUCCGGACCUUACGCUGAGGCGCGAAAGCGUGGGGAGCAAACAGG
rnacentral:rRNA from 1 species